GACUUGAUACUUUAAUUUAAAAGAUUUGAUUUGCAUUUAAAAAAUAAGUUUAUAUACUUUCAGGUCA
rnacentral:tRNA from 1 species